GGAAGAGGAGGCCCAAAUGUUAGUUAGAGAGGCCCAAACACUUUGGGUUUUUUUUAACUUUUUUUCAGUCUAUGUUUUUGUGAUUUAUUUUAACUGGGAGCAACCCUGAAAAAGUGAAAACGAAAACUCUCUCAACCUCCCUCUUAACCCAUACCAAUCUUUCAGAGGGAUUGAGAGUUUUUCUUUGUUUUGUGUAACAUAUUCGAUCUACGAUCGAUUUUUAUGUUUCCGGUUGCGGAAUUUUGAUUCGCUAGGCGAGUUUCUCUUUUUGUUGUGUUUUUUCAAACAAAUCUGAUCUUGUUCUUCAUGCUUACAUCUUCUCAGAUUUAGUUUGAAACUAAUAAGGUAUCUGAUUUUAAAUCGGAUUCCAUGAAGUUCUGAUCUUGAUGAUCGGAUCUGGUAGCAGCUCUCGGUGAUUCCACUUCCAUCCCGUCCGAUUUCUUUUUUAAUCGAUGAAUCUCCUUGUGCUAUGGAGGUAACUUCGUGCUAGCUUCAUCAAUCAAUCCUUAGUGGGGAUGUUAAAAAGUCUCAGUGCUUAGUUCAUCGGAGACGGCGGCAUGUUUUCCAUCACUAGAAGAAGAAGAUUGAACAAGAGUGAAGAAGGUGACAGACGAGGAGCUGCUAGAGUUGUGGUCGGAGAAUUAGAGGCGGAGGAGAAAGGGUUUGAAUCGAUUUGAAUUCAUGGCGGAGAAGCUCUGGUCGGAGAAGGAGCGUUGCGGAGGAGAGACAGGAUCACUCCAUGAUCGACGCAUGUCAUAUAACGUGGCAGUUGACUCUUCACAAACGGAGCAUGUGAAUCUUUUUUUUGUCCGUAAGUUUUUUUUCAUUAAAUAGAAAAGGGCCCGGCCCAAGAUCCUUACAAAAAACAGCCCACUGUCCGAUUAACUAAACCAAAAACAAACUAAAAGAUUGGGUUUAAAGCCUAAAAGCCUAUCACCGACACUGCCCAGAUCCAGAAGCACUUGUCGGUUUAUCCUCUUCUUGUCUCAUCCCGGCGGUUCCGCCGAACCUUGAACGGCUCUACACCGUCGAACUUGUCACGGAGAGCGUCAUCGGACUUACCGAGAGCUCAUCCCAAUCAUCACACGCCGCCUACUGGGCAUUUUAAACCCGAGACUCGAGACCUCUGCUUUCCUUCUCUUAUCGUCGUCGCCGUCGAUGGAGAGCUUCAUCUUCUACCGAGAUCUCAUCCAUUCUGACCCAAACAACCAUCCUGGCGACAAGAGCCACAAUGCAGCUUCCACCAAAGCCAAACUAGUAACCAAAUCCCAAAAGACUACGGGUUCCAAAACCGACAGCGUAGAGCUAUGUGAGCCUCUACCCUCCGGAGCCAAAACCGGCGAAGACGGAGCAGAGAAAACCUCUCCUUCCCGGGAACUAGAACCGGCGGCGGCGAAGCUGAGGGAGCCUCCACCUCCCGGAGAAAAGCAGGCGUCGGCGGAUCUGUGAUAGCCUCCAUCUCCCGGAAUCACCACUUGAACAUGCAAGCCUAUCUUCUCACGCCAUGAGCCUCCACGCGAGCGUGUCUUCCCUCCAAGCGAGGAAUCACCGUUGGAGAACGUCUCCAAUCCAGAAUUCAGACAAGGCAUUCGGUGAGAGGCGACGAAGAAGAAGCAAAAAUAAACCUUUUUGAAAGUAGGAGAAAGGUUCCGGCGACGGCACGAACGCUCACGCGCCGUCCGUACGCCGGAUCCGAUCUCAGAUCUCCUCUCUCCUCUCUCUGUUUUCUACUCUUGUCACUGACCAACGGAGCAUGUGAAUCUUUAAGUAGGUUGUUUUAAGAAAGUAAUUUUAAUUUUUGUUUCCUUGUAAACUCUUAUUGGGCUUUAAAAAGUAAACAUUUUGGCCCAACUUGUAAUGGUCUUUGGACCCUUUCAUUUCAAUGAAAUGAUGCUGUCGACAAAAAAAAAAAAAACUCAUGAAAAAUAAUGCGUUUAAUUAUGACAUCGGUAGAAAACUCUUUUUGUGUGCAGUGUGAAAAUUGAGAUAUCCAAGAAAAGAAAAAAAAGAGGGAAGAGUGAAUAAGCCUCCCCCGCAAGGAGACAAACUUGGAAUCUGUAAUGGAAUAUUUACAAGUUUACAAUUUAAUAUGAGAAAUAACCAAUGGAAGAAUCAAAAAGUUAAAUUCAGAGUAUAUACAUAAUAAUACUACUAACCUACUCCAUUCCACAUGUUUAAGCGUUGGAUUCCAUUAACAAGUUUCAAGAAGAUAUUCAUGAUCAAGAUGGAAAAUAACUAGGAGUAUUGAACUCUUUACUUUUAGGUUUCUAUUAUUGGUUCAAAAAGUACCAAUGCCCAAUAGUGAGUGCUGUUUAAAAUGCUUUGUCCUCUUUAGCAAAAAAAUGCUUUGUGCUUAGAAAUUGUGUGGUUUAAAAUAAAACAGAGUUCACAUGAUAACAUUUAAACGUUUUAUUUGUUGUUAGAUUAUAAUCUAUAGUCUUUACCAUUAUGUAAACGAGUUUAAACUCAUUUAACCUACCUAGUUACUUGAAUAUAAGAAACUAUAAUUGAAAUAAGAAAUUUUUAAUUUUAUUAUACAAGAAACAUGAAUCAUUUAUAUACAUACCUUCACUAUGGAUCUUUAUAAGAAACUGUCAUUUAGCUAUGUUAAUCAUUCAUAAUAGAAAAUGUAAAAAGAAAUUUGGUUGUUUUGGUUAGCAGUUUUAAUGUUUUUGUUAAGUUUUAAUGUAGUUUAAUAUGUUUCUUAAUUAAUACAAGGAUAUUAACUAUAGUUACCAAAAAAAACUAUAGUUACCAAACUCAAUACUUUUUCAAAAGUUGACAAAAUAUGUAGCAUAUAGCUUUCCUAAUAUAUUCAGCAUUGAAUUAAUAUUCAAAUUAAUAAUAACUUUUUCUUUUCUUUUUUAAAUUUAGAUCAUUGAUGUGAGCAUCUAUCGGUCACGGCCAAGACCGACAACCAAAAAAAAAAUUCAUGGGACUCUCUCUCUCGCGUUAGUUGUGAAUUGUGAUCUCUCUCCAUCGCGAUAACGUAUGUGCCAACCAGAGACUUCUUCUCUUUCCUUUAACAACAAUAAACUCUUAUGCAUGGAAAGCUCAAGUCCAACGAAAGACUUUAAUCUCCCUAAACUCUUCAAACUUAGCC
rnacentral:lncRNA from 1 species